CAUCUUAAUACUUUUUCAGUGAAUAAUGAAGCCGUUUAUUUAAUAUUAUUUGGAUAACAAGCCCCCACAUGAACGGGAUUCGAAUGUCAGUUGUCUUAGGGGAAAAAAGAUUUAUUGGUUGGUAAAUAUUGAGAAAGAAAAGCUGAUAAAAGACAGUUUCAGCUGCGGCUUCUGCCCGGAGCAGGAGAACAGGCCCGUGUUGUAUUUUGGGGCCCUGGGAAGGCAAAAAAUUGUGAAUGUCUUUCUUUGUUGGUGGGGGUAAAUGUGGAGCCCGCUACAAAUAAUUUCUUAUUUCUCUUCGCAUAGAUUUUAAAUUAUGGAGCGUUCCUACCUUGUGAAGCAUUAAAGCGGUCUUGUUUAAGGAAAAGCCCCUUAAAUAAUGAAGCUUAUGUAUCUUGUUUUCAGAAAUCAAUAUCUUGCUUUGAGUGGCACAAAAGGAUGGUGGAACGUGGGUUCAG
ensembl:misc_RNA